UACGUAGGGUGCAAGCGUUGUCCGGAAUUAUUGGGCGUAAAGAGCUCGUAGGCGGUCUGUCGCGUCGGAUGUGAAAACUCGGAGCUUAACUCCGAGCCUGCUUCCGAUACGGGCAGACUAGAGGUAGGCAGGGGAGAGCGGAACUCCUGGUGUAGCGGUGGAAUGCGCAGAUAUCAGGAAGAACACCGGUGGCGAAGGCGGCUCUCUGGGCCUUACCUGACGCUGAGGAGCGAAAGCGUGGGUAGCGAACAGG
rnacentral:rRNA from 1 species